rnacentral:rRNA from 1 species
GGUGAACGCUGGCGGCGUGCCUAAUACAUGCAAGUCGAGCGAACAGAUAAGGAGCUUGCUCCUUUGACGUUAGCGGCGGACGGGUGAGUAACACGUGGGUAACCUACCUAUAAGACUGGGAUAACUUCGGGAAACCGGAGCUAAUACCGGAUAACAUUUGGAACCGCAUGGUUCUAAAGUGAAAGAUGGUUUUGCUAUCACUUAUAGAUGGACCCGCGCCGUAUUAGCUAGUUGGUAAGGUAACGGCUUACCAAGGCGACGAUACGUAGCCGACCUGAGAGGGUGAUCGGCCACACUGGAACUGAGACACGGUCCAGACUCCUAUGGGAGGCAGCAGUAGGGAAUCUUCCGCAAUAGGCGAAAGCCUGACGGAGCAACGCCGCGUGAGUGAUGAAGGGUUUCGGCUCGUAAAACUCUGUUAUUAGGGAAGAACAAAUGUGUAAGUAACUGUGCACGUCUUGACGGUACCGAAUCAGAAAGCCACGGCUAACUACGUG